CAGUCGCCGCGGUAAUACAGAGGAUGCAAGCGUUAUCCGGAAUGAUUGGGCAUAAAGCGUCUGUAGGUGGCUUUUCAAGUCCGCCGUCAAAUCCCAGGGCUCAACCCUGGACAGGCGGUGGAAACUACCAAGCUGGAGUACGGUAGGGGCAGAGGGAAUUUCCAGUGGAGCGGUGAAAUGCGUUGAGAUCGAAAAGAACACCAACAGCGAAAGCACUCUGCUGGGACGACACUGACACUAAGAGACGAAAGCUAGGGGAGCAAAUGGGAUUAGAUACCCCUGUAGUCCCUGUCUCUUAUAC
rnacentral:rRNA from 1 species